UACGGGGGGGGCAAGCGUUGUUCGGAAUUACUGGGCGUAAAGGGCUCGUAGGCGGCCAACUAAGUCAGACGUGAAAUCCCUCAGCUUAACUGGGGAACUGCGUCUGAUACUGGAUGGCUUGAGUUUGGGAGAGGGAUGCGGAAUUCCAGGUGUAGCGGUGAAAUGCGUAGAUAUCUGGAGGAACACCGGUGGCGAAGGCGGCAUCCUGGACCAGCACUGACACUGAGGAGCGAAAGCCAGGGGAGCAAACGGG
rnacentral:rRNA from 1 species